rnacentral:sRNA from 1 species
CUCCAAAACGACAUGGAUCACAUCUGGUUUUGCUCCCAGUUUUAUCCCUCACACCUAGCGUAGUGGUUGGCAAAUACUGAGACUCUGUGUAACAUGGACUUGGGAGGCAGCCAAUCUGAAUUUGAAUCUUGGCUCUUCUCUUCACUAACUGUGUUUGACUCUGGACAAAUUACUUUACUUCUUCUUGCCUAAUUGACUUCAUCUGGAAAUGACAGGAAACAAACUAGAUAUAACAACAGAGAAGACCAUUUUACAUGGAGGCAUGAAAACUUUGAAUGUUGUUACCACAAGCAGUCACCCAGUUUGAAGAAUUGGUUGGUAUGGCCGAGGCUCUGCUUAAGGGUGGGGGAAGCAUGUCUACAUCUGCAUCCACCCUCUGGAGAGCAACAAACAACUCCUCGCCAGAUUCAUUUGCCUCAACAUGCAGUAAUUCUAAUUCUAACUCCAGUUCACCAGUUUCCUUAAAGCCUGAGGAAGAGCAUCAGACUGAUGAGAAACAGUUCCAGAUUGAAAAAUGGCAGAUUGCCCGUUGUAACAAGAGCAAGCCUCAGAAGUUUAUUAAUGAUUUAAUGCAAGUACUUUACACAAAUGAAUACAUGGCCACUCACAGCCUGACAGGGGCAAAAUCCUCUACUUCAAGGGACAAAGCUGUAAAACCAGCUAUGAAUCAGAAUGAAGUCCAAGAAAUCAUAGGAGUAACAAAACAAUUAUUUCCCAAUACGGAUGAUGUUUCAAUUAGGAGAA